UACGGGGGGGGCAAGCGUUGUUCGGAAUUACUGGGCGUAAAGCGCACGUAGGCGGAUCUUUAAGUCAGGGGUGAAAUCCUGGAGCUCAACUCCAGAACUGCCUUUGAUACUGAGGGUCUUGAGUUCGGGAGAGGUGAGUGGAACUGCGAGUGUAGAGGUGAAAUUCGUAGAUAUUCGCAAGAACACCAGUGGCGAAGGCGGCUCACUGGCCCGAUACUGACGCUGAGGUGCGAAAGCGUGGGGAGCAAACAGG
rnacentral:rRNA from 1 species